rnacentral:rRNA from 1 species
GACGAACGCUGGCGGCGUGCUUAACACAUGCAAGUCGAGCGGUAAGGCCCCUUCGGGGUACGACGAGCGGCGAACGGGUGAGUAACACGUGGGUGACCUGCCCUCAGCUCUGGGAGUAAGCCUGGGAAACGUAGGGUCGUAAUACCGGAUAUGACUCCAUGACGCAUGUCGUGGGGUGGAAAGCCUUGUGCGGCUGGGGAUGGGCCCGCGGCCUAUCAGCUUGUUGGUGGGGUGAUGGCCUACCAAGGCGACGACGGGUAGCCGGCCUGAGAGGGCGACCGGCCACACUGGGACUGAGACACGGCCCAGACUCCUACGGGAGGCAGCAGUGGGGAAUCUUGCGCAAUGGGCGAAAGCCUGACGCAGCGACGCCGCGUGAGGGAUGACGGCC